rnacentral:rRNA from 1 species
GUAGUCUGCAACUCGACUACAUGAAGCUGGAAUCGCUAGUAAUCGCGAAUCAGCAUGUCGCGGUGAAUACGUUCCCGGGUCUUGUACACACCGCCCGUCACACCAUGGGAGUCGGAAAUGCCCGAAGUCUGUGACCCAACCGCGAGGAGGGAGCAGCCGAAGGCAGGUCGGAUGACUGGGGUGAAGUCGUAACAAGGUAGC